ensembl:lncRNA
UUGGGGAACAUCCCACGAGGCAAGAGCAGGAUUAAAUCAUUCCUCCUGCCAGCGAUUCCCAAACCGUGCAUCCCAGGGCUUGAAUCUGCUCUGCUGAAGAAGGGGAAGAUUGAUGAGAUCGAUCAGCAUUUCUCCAGUUUUCACAGCUAUAAGUCCCCCCAGUACUGCACGGAGACGUGGUACCAGGUGAGUGUGGACACGAGUCCGGCUGUGACGCCCAGCAGCAUCCAGUCUGACGGUAUACAAGAGGAUGUGCUGAUCACGCCAAUCAUACCGAUUGUGCCGAUCGGGCCAAUCACGCAGUACGUCACCUGCCCCAAUGGACAACAGUCUGUUCAGACCAGCUGCACUCCUAUGCCUUAUGUCCACGGCCCGGCCCCCUACUGUGAGAAAGACACACCCCCUCCAGUCCCUGGCCCCGCCCACCCGGAGCUCAUGUCUGUCCCAGGCAUGGACUAUAACAUGAUUUUAAACCACGCCCCCUACUGUGUGGAAGACACGCCCCCUCC